rnacentral:rRNA from 1 species
CGGCGUGGUUGAAACAUGCAAGUCGCACGGGAUCAUUCGAGUAGUAAUACAAGAAUGGUCCAGUGGCGCACGGGUGAGUAACACGUGAAUUACAUGCCUUUCAGUGGGGAAUAGCCCAGGGAAACUUGGAUUAAUACCCCAUGGUAUCGCAAGAUUAAAGGUGGCCGCAAGGCUGUCGCUGAAGGAUUGGUUCGCGCCCUAUCAGCUUGUUGGCGGGGUAACGGCCCACCAAGGCUACGACGGGUACCUGGUCUGAGGGGACGAUCAGGCACACUGGAACUGAGACACGGUCCAGACACCUACGGGUGCCAGC